rnacentral:rRNA from 1 species
ACGUAGGGUGCGAGCGUUAAUCGGAAUUACUGGGCGUAAAGCGUACGCAGGCGGCUGGGUAAGACAGGUGUGAAAUCCCCGGGCUUAACCUGGGAACUGCAUUUGUGACUGGCGGGCUGGAGUACGGCAGAGGGGGGUGGAAUUCCACGUGUAGCAGUGAAAUGCGUAGAGAUGUGGAGGAACACCGAUGGCGAAGGCAGCCCCCUGGGCCGAUACUGACGCUCAUGCACGAAAGCGUGGGGAGCAAACAG